GUAUUGCAUGGUACUGGUACCAAAGAUUUAUCGCUGAGAGAUGGCCUCGCGUCUGAUUAGCUAGUUGGUAGGGUAACGGCCUAUCAAGGCGACGAUCAGUAGCCGGACUGAGAGGUUGGCCGGCCACAUUGGGACUGAGAUACGGCCCAGACUCCUACGGGAGGCAGCAGUGGGGAAUAUUGGGCAAUGGGCGCAAGCCUGACCCAGCAACGCCGCGUGAAGGAAGAAGGCCUUCGGGUUGUAAACUUCUUUUGACAGGGAAGAGCAGAAGACGGUGCCUGUCGAAUAAGCCACGGCUAACUACGUGCCAGCAGCCGCGGUAAUACGUAGGUGGCAAGCGUUGUCCGGAUUUACUGGGUGUAAAGGGCGUGUAGCCGGGCUGACAAGUCAGAUGUGAAAUCCGGGGGCUCAGCCCCCGAACUGCAUUUGAAACUGUUGGUCUUGAGUAUCGGAGAGGCAGGCGGAAUUCCUAGUGUAGCGGUGAAAUGCGCAGAUAUUAGGAGGAACACCAGUGGCGAAGGCGGCCUGCUGGACGACAACUGACGGUGAGGCGCGAAAGCGUGGGGAGCAAACAGAAUUAGAUACCCUGGUAGUCCACGCUGUAAACGAUGGAUACUAGGUGUGCGGG
rnacentral:rRNA from 1 species